GGGGGGGUAGUCUAGCCCGGCCAAAGACGCUGGACUUAAGAUCCGGUCCCUUAGGGGUUCGCGGGUUCGAAUCCCGCCCCCUCCA
rnacentral:tRNA from 1 species